GGUGGAGAGGAGCCAGCGGGCGGCUCGACUGGGUGCCCCCGGUCCACUCACUCGCUCUCCGAGCACGUGCGGGGACCCAGCGGUCCUGGGAGACGCGCGCUUCCUACCCUCCCCGCGGGGCGGCGCCAGUGAGCAAGGCCAGGAGCGCGGGGUCACUCCGUCCUCCCCUUCCCGCCUCUCUGCACAUGAGCCCCGAGUCCCCGGGGCCCCUGGAGCAGGCGGGUGGACCCCCCGACCGAGUCCGCUUAGAGAAGUCGGUGCGAGUUCAACGAACACGGUUGAACUAUCAGGGUCUUUAUCCCCGCCCGCAGGUCAAACCACUGACCUGAGAACCGGUUCGAAAGACCACGAGGACAUACCUGGAGUAUUUGAUGAAAUCCUAGUCCAAGAGAUUCUGGAACCCAAUAAAUCGACGUCUAAAAUGCCAACGGCAGGAACAACGCUAUCAACAAGAAUAUUCAAGGAAAAAAAAGCCAGCCUCGAGGAGGAGGACGCCCCGUCGGCUGCUUCCGAGGGUCACCGUGUGCUCUCGGCGGUUCUCCCCGUCUCUCUCGGCCCUGAGGACAAGAUGGUCAACAACGAACCCAGUACUGACGACACCUACCAAGUCGGCGAGCCCGAGGGCUCCCCGGAGCCACAGUACCCCCCCGGCGUGGGAGACGUACUUCAGAAUAACGGAAAGAAGAAAUCGAAAAAUGAUCAGCACGAGAAACAAUCAGUUCUGGACAGGAUCCUGCAAAAUACUGAAAAAUCUCCAGGAAACUCCGUCCAGUAAAUGGAGGAGAGCGAGGCCCAGAGGAGGCGUGGAGAGCAGCCCGUGAGGCCGCUGGCUCCGAGGAGCCGCCACACAGGACGCACGGACUGCGUGACAACAGCCCCGUCCUCAGUAAUAAAGAGCCUAUGUGCACACA
rnacentral:lncRNA from 1 species